ACGACACUUGGAUAUAGAAGUAAUGAAAAAUUUGCACGACAAAGUCAACAUUUCACUUAUUGCAAAGGCUGAUUCAUUUACACUAGAAGUGUAUGCAGCUUUCAAGAAAAUCAUAAUGAAUCAAAUUGCACACCACAGCAUUAACAUAUAUGAUUUUCCAUCCAAAGUUCACGGAGAUAACGAAAAUCUAAAUAAUCUUAAGGAAAGAGUUUCCUUCGCCAUUAUGGGAAGCAUGCGUUUAGAGAACGUAUGCGGCGAAAGAGAGGAAGAAAAUAUGUUUGGGAAACCGCAGAAAGUGAGUAGUUUUAUGAUUAAUAAAAUGAUGAUUAAUGACUAAUGUUUAUUGAUUUUGUGUAUUAAAAUGUGUAAUGUUAUUGUCUUUCUAGUUGAAAAUUUAGAACAUUGUGAUGGUUUUGAGGAAAUUGUUUGUGAGAACUUAAUUGAUACAACUAAUAAUCUGCAUUACGAAAUGUAUCGAUAUAGAAAACUCCAAGAAGUAAAUUCAAAUAAUUUUAAAAUUGAAAAUUAAAGAGAAUAAUAAAUAAACGUAUACAUAAUGUAGUAAAAAAUAAAUAUUCAUAAGCAAAAUUAUAUAUGCCUAACACCGGGUUAAGGAACAAUAAUAUUGUUUUAUUUAAUUCACAAAAGAUAUACUGUAGAUGAAAAGAAUUAGGUUAAAUGGCAAGUAAUAUGGCUAUGGAAUGUUUACAAACACAACUUUAAAUCACGUGAUUUUUCCGCGGAAAUUUAAUUAUAGUCUUAUCAUAAACUUAGAAGGAGUAUGUUAGUAAUUUAUGAGAAAAUUGUAUGUUAAUUUUUAUUUAAAAUAAAGAAGUUUAAACACAGUAUCAAACUUCUUCAUA